AGAAAAUUAUAGCUAAGGAGCUGGGAGAAACAAGGUAGAAUGUGGUGAGGUAAGGAGAGAGAUGAUGGGAUGGAUAUAGGGUAGGAGAGAAGCAGGAAGGAGAAGUAGAGAGAUGCACCAAACAAGAGGCUUAGCCCAGGUUUGAGUUGGAGACUUAGCUGACAGUUCUAGGGCAGAAAGGUAGGGAAGGGAUAGCCAGGGGGCUAUCAGCUAUGCAGGAGCUGCCAGGAGUCAACAGCUGGCUCUGGGAGGGACAAAGAUUGAGAAAAAGGAAAUAAUUAAAUUUUUAAGAGCAGAAGGUAAAAAGGAAAGGGGUGAAAAGGGGUAGGCAGGGAUGAGAGUUAUUGGUCUGACUGGAGCUGGGCUAAAUAUUCUAUCUUGCCAUCAGCUUGGAAACACUGGGUGUGUCAGUUGCUGUGUAGGCAAAAUUGAAAUGAGAAGCCUGUCUCCUCUAUACUCAAUAGCAAAUGACUUUAGUAGAGUCUAAUGAACCAUGCAUACAAGGAAAGAAAAAGGUUAACUGAGGUUGAAAAAAAAAAAGCCUUAUGCGGCAGUUUUCAAACAAGCAGGUUGACUUGGCUUGUGUGACGGUGAUGAUGCCUGAUUUGGAGCAGAGCAAUUUGUGUUGUACCAUUUUAAAAUCCAUUCUGGCAUACUGUGAUGAAUGUGCUGGCUGACAGCUAAGAACCUGCUGGAAUGCAAGAGUCUUUCACCAUUUAUAAUCGACACUUCCCCUUCCAGGAAAGAGCCUUUCUAAUCUCUGAAGCAGUGGACUUAUCAA